rnacentral:lncRNA from 1 species
UUAUAGUUGCAAGUAAACUUUCGAUGGGAAAGAGGCAAAGAGCUAGUAUUUCUAUUCCCUAAAACUGAUCAACGAAUAAGUUUAUAUGUGUAAUUAAUCCUCUUAGAAUAAAUACCUUUCCUUUUUCAUUUUUUUGUAACUUAGAGGAAGUAUUAAAACUAUGCAGUUUCGAAUAAUAGUGCAUACGUAUUAAGGUUUGUACUUGAUCAUAAGUCUACAAUCAGGAAACGGUUUAAUCAAGAACAGAACACUGGACGAAUAGCCCAUUUUCUAGGUUCCUCUGGAAUUUUAAAAAACAUUUGGAAGUAUUGAACUAUCCUCAAUCUAAAGACCUAUAUAUUGAGAUCUCAAGUACGUAUCCUCAACUUUUCCAAUAUCUUCAUUGUUGAUAAUCAUUUUUUUUAUAAGAUUGUUGAUUAUCAGUUGAUCCCACUGUUGUAGGAGAGCAUUGAUGGCAGUCAGCUAGGCUCUGCAAAUCAAGGUAGUCCAUACAAAUUUGUUGAUAUGAUCUGUAAUCCAAUGUUUUGCUGA